rnacentral:tRNA from 1 species
CGGUGUAGCUCAGUGGUAGAGCACCUCACUCGUAAUGAGGUGGCCGUCGGUUCGAUCCCGACCACC